rnacentral:rRNA from 1 species
GUGGGGAAUAUUGCACAAUGGGGGGAACCCUGAUGCAGCAACGCCGCGUGAGCGAUGAAGGUCUUCGGAUUGUAAAGCUCUGUCUUCGCUGACGAUAAUGACGGUAAGCGAGGAGGAAGCCACGGCUAACUCCGUGCCAGCAGCCGCGGUAAUACGGAGGGUCCGAGCGUUAUCCGGAUUUCUUGGGUUUAAAGGGUGCGUAGGCUGGAAGGUCAGUCAGCGGUGAAAAGCUAUCGCUUAACGAUAGUCUUGCCGCAGAUACUUCCUUUCUUGGAUGAGGAGGAGGCCACUGGAACGGAUGGUGUAGCGGUGAAAUGCAUAGAUAUCAUCCAGAACACCGAUUGCGAAGGCAGGUGGCUGUACCUUAAUCGACGCUGAUGCACGAAAGCAUGGGGAGCAAACAGGAUUAGAUACCCGUGUAGUCC